GGAACUUUGUACUGUAACAUUAGCUGAUUCUGGAGCAUUAUGACUGAAUGGGGUCAUGAAAAAUCUGCAUUCUUGUACCUGUUGCAGAAAAAUACCACCUUUCUCUUUGUGUAAAAUGACUUCCCUGAAGUGAUUGCAUUUUGCUGUACCAUCAAUGUCUUUUGCAAAGCUUUGUCACACUUUUUAGCAUUACCUCUGGCCCGCCAUACUGUAAACAUUAUACAUGAGUAUUGAUGCAUUCAUAAGUGGUGAUGUAGACUGAAGUUUACUAGCAUAAAGAAACCAAAGUCUGGUUCUUAUAAACGUGUGCAUACUUCUAAUUUCAAACAAUAUAUUAUUACCCAGCCCUAAUUAUCUCAGUUGGUAACUGGCCAACAACCAAAGUUCUGUUUGUUUUGAUGGUAACAUUGCAAUUAUCACCUAAGGCGAUGCAUUUUAGGGAUGUGAUUAGUUUAACACCUUCUAGUAAAUGAUACAGGUGUACAGUUUCAGGUUAAAAGGAAGGACAUUAACUGUUUCACUCAAGCCGCUACAGUUCUAACAUUAGAUAUUUAUAUUUAUUAGACAAUACGAGAGAUAAUUAUGAGAUAAACUGUUUAAAACUAUGCUUGCAGCUUGCGGUUCAAUUUCCUGUGAUACCUACCAUGGUAAUUAGGCAUUUUGGAUAAAAGCAAAGUGAACAUAGCAGAGGUGAUAUAAUCACAUAUGUUUUGAAAAUGACACAUCUGAGUGGGCUAUUUUUCAGUAGCUGCUGUCAGGUUUGGGGAAUCAGACGUGUAACUGAUGGGGUUUGGGGUCUAGGUAGGGAUUGGGAAUGUUGGUGGUUGAACUCUGGGUUUGAGAUAUCUUGAGGUGGGGACAUUGACAUUGGGCGGGGUUGGGUAGGGGUGCUAUCAGGGAGUCAUUUAGACUCACAGCACCACAGUGGCAAAGCAGGAGGACGGGUUCACAGUGUGCUGACUCCACUCCAAGGGGCAAAGGGGCUCUCUCUCUUCUUAGUGUCUUAAAGUGGAAAUCAACCCUGAAACAGAAACCACAGCAGGUAGCCUCAUUUUUCCUGGACAGUUUUGGAAAUUAUACUGACAGCAUUAGACUAGAUACAGUAUUCCAACUUGUGGAGAUCUUCUGCAACAGUUAGUUGACAAAAAUAUAAAUAAAAUACAUUCUGACUUAUUUCUGUUCUUAACUGGGAAUGUGUAUCUCACAUAACAAGUCUAAAUGUAAAAAAAAAUGUUAAUAAUGCUUUUUCAAAGUUUCACAGUUUUUAUAUUUGCGCUAUUGUGAUAACCAAAAAACGAACAGGUCUUGCCUAAAUGUUUGCAAAAAGCAUGUUAAGCCAAACAAUAGACACAUUAUUAUCUAAAAACUAUUUACACAUUUUUCUGGCACUGCUCAUUACUAUUAACAAAAGAAUCUAGUCUUUUUUACUUUUACAUAUAGAUAAAAAAAACUAAUUGAAAUACAGGUAGUUUUCAAUUUAGUUAUUUGUUUCAUGAUGGUGUUUGCUGUCAGAAAUUAAACCCAAUGACAAUUUGAUUGGAUUCUCCAUUUUUAAAGUUAUACAGUUUAACACUUUCCUGUUUCCUAUGGUCUGCUAGUUGCAGAGAGGCACUUAACAGUUAAGCUGUCCAGGCUUCAAGAGUUAACGUGGAUUCUGUUUUGAGGUUGGUGUCCCCUUUUACUUUUAACUGUUUAAUUUUACUUUUUAUGUCUCUUCAUAUAAUUUGGUAAUUUUUGAUUGGGUUACCUUGAAUUUAAAACAUCUGUGUUUUUUCACUUAUGUUUUUCAUUGACAGGAUGGAUUUCAGGAUAGCAAGUGACACCAUUUGCUGUCACGAAGGGUUGUGGUUUGCUGUCAAUUGUAUUUUUUUAACUUAUGUCUGUACAAACCAAUUUCUUUGCUGCACUUACUCUUUGCAGCACAUAUAUUGUAAAUCCUAAUUUGGUCUUUUGUUUGAGAGGAACAAUUCUAUGAACUUACAUUGCCUUAAAUAUCAAGUCUGUUAACUGAAGUUCGCUCUCUGGCUGGAUAAAAUGUGUUCUAGUUUUUACUGGUGCUUCGCUGUUAGUUUAUAUUAGUCCAGACCUGUAGUCAUAAAGCUUCCGAGGACAGGACCUGUCAGGCCAGAGAAUAAUACAAUUUUGAUAUUGUAUUUUCUUAGGUUGCUGCUGAGCAGUUUGGUCCAUUUUAACCGAACUCCGGAGCAUUUCAUCGGAUAGCCGGUUGGUUUAGGGCGGUGUGAAAGCUCAUUCCAACUCUGGUGCGGACCAAACAACAGAACUCUGGUCCGCUUGAAAACAGGGGUCUCGGAUCGCUUCCAAGUGAUCUCGAGUUUGUUUCACUUUAGGUGAGAAUGUAAUCCGACCCAAAUACAGGAAUUUACCCAAAACAGUGCAUUUGCUAGUCUGUAAAUACAACCUUGCACACAGUUAAGGACGUAAACAUGAGUUAAGAGACAGUAACUUUCAAAUCCAUAACCUAUACAUUGCUCGUCAUCUGUGUGACAACACAUCAUCAUCUCUCUCUCUCAUCAGGGCUGCCCUCUCCUUCACUUGCUGUCUUUUCAGCUGCUCAUUGUUCGUCUUCUUCUAAAAUAUUAGAAACACCAAAGCAGAACCAGAAAACCCAAGACGUAAUAAAUUUGGUGUUCCAUUAUUUCUGAGACCAGAAGUGUCGGCGAGUUUCGGAUAUUUUGUUCAAUAAACAAGCAACCUUUUCGACCGUGUGACAUUUGUAUCAGUAUUUGGUGCGUUUGACAAAGUGCAGUGUGAACGCUAACGGAACCACAUGAAAAAUGCAACUUCACCUCCGAAUCUACCAAACUAUAGCUGUGAAAGUGCCCUAAGUCUUUAGCCUUAAAUUAAGAGUGUUACUACUUUAUUGCCAAUUGCUAAAAAAUCUGAGAUAAAUCAAAUAUCAUUAACCCUGUUGGUAUUUUAGGGAACUGGACUUAAACUUUGUAUAAUAAAACUGCAAGCUGUCAAUAAUUUUGAGCCCCGCCUGCAGUGACUCCGAGGACACCCUAGAGGUCUCGGACCCCCUGUUGAAGAUCCCUGCUCUAGGGAAACCAAUGGUUACCAUGGGUAAAACUGAUCACAAAAAAUAGCUUGAAAGAAAAUGAAACACUUUACCACAGCUCCUUUUUACUUUGUUUUAGGUUACCAAGCCGCAAGCACGAUAAUACACUCCAAGGUGUUCUGAUAUAGAAAAUAACGGACUUGGCUUUGCCUCAAAAUUGUGCAUUAUUUUCUCACAUCGAGAUUCGCCACACAUUAUCACUAAUAUCAUUAUCCGAUAUGCAAAUCCUUAGGAUUUUUCUUUCAGCUCACUGUUGAAGUCUUGAAACUCAAACGUGAAGCGAAUUCAGUUGCAAAUUAUCAGCUGUGGGCUGGAAGUGCAUCUUUACAUUGUUGAAAGAGACAGGCCCCUUGUCUUUAAAAGUUUCAUGCAUUCUCAGAGUUCUACAUUUUUAUCAUACCCCCUGGUAUCCUUUAUGAUCAAGUCUGUCGGUUCUGUUCUGAGAGAUUUAUGAAUACUGGUCUUCUUUUGUACAACCUAGCAGACUUUGUGUAGGAAAAAUUACCGAAGCAUCAAGGACACUGGCUUCGACAUGAUUCACCUUUAUGAAGAUGUGCUAUAACGCAGCUGUGAGGCUCUUUGUGCUUAACUGUCACUGUUAAAACUGAUGAUGCUACAAUAUUUUGUAUUACUGUUUGGUGUUUUUUUUGUAGCACAAAACUACAUAAAGUAAAAAUCCUUCUGUUUAACAAUGCAGAGUGAGCAUAAUUAUACUGUCUGUUAGCUCUGUAUUUAAACUUUCUGUUUGAAUAUUACACUGUAAAAGUAUAAAACAUGGUUCUGAUCAUCAUUUAACGUCUGACCUCUUUCUCUUGUUAUUCUCGGUGUAUAAAUAAAAAUAUUUCUCGCCAAGCGUAAUGGUACAUAUUGUUACCUCCGUGCAUCUGAACGCAGGGAGAUUCCUUUCAUCCGUUUACAUUUUACAGACCAUAUGAAUGUCAAAUGAAAAACUCCAAAUCUAGAAAGAAAAAAAACAUACAAUGUCAAUGUUGUUAAAUACUAUUAUUGCUAUCAAAAAAA